CGCGCGGGGAGCGGGUGUGCCCAGCCCUGGUGUGGCUCCGGUCCCCGUCCCGGCGCUUUUGGAGAUCUCCGAGGAGGAGAGCCCGCGGCAUCCGGGCAGCCUGCCCUCGGGGGGACAGAAAAAUCAGCAGCUGAAAUGUGAACUGUUGGUGGCUACAACCAGAAGCAGGUUGUGUUUGCAGUCAAGAGGACGAGAGGCAGCAGCACUCGGAUGGGACUCAUUGUUCCGUGAAAUCCAGGAAUUUCCAGGUGCAAAGCUGCAAACUCCCAACUCCUUGAGCUGAUGAGCUGGAUCACAGCAGGUAUUCAACACCUCUUCCUCCUCCCCACUGGCUUCAUUCAGAGCACUGCUGGAAACUGAGCGAGCUGAGAUACUCGGGCUUAGCUUCAGUGGUUACCACUUUUGUUUCAAAUGUUAAAACAAUAAGCAGCAAAGUUGGUACUGAACAGCAGA
rnacentral:lncRNA from 1 species